UAGGGAAUCUUCCACAAUGGGCGAAAGCCUGAUGGAGCAACGCCGCGUGUGUGAUGAAGGCUUUCGGGUCGUAAAGCACUGUUGUAUGGGAAGAACAGCUAGAAUAGGAAAUGAUUUUAGUUUGACGGUACCAUACCAGAAAGGGACGGCUAAAUACGUGCCCAC
rnacentral:rRNA from 1 species